AAGGUCUUGCUAGUUUUUUGAAGCCACACAGUGCAUCCAACCUCUAUGGAUCGUCCACAAAAAGUUCUUGGACUGAUCAACCUUUUUAGGGAAUGUUGGUUUGCGAAGAAGACUUCUGAUGGCGGAUCUGAUUGGAUCUCCUUCUUCAAACUUCUUAGACUCUUCCAAAGUUGAAGAUAAAUCAGAAGAGGUUGCUGUAUGAUAGAAGAAAAUUAGAGAAAUCUUUUUCUCUCAUCAAAAUACUCCCUCCCAGAAAAUAGAAUGGCUAGG
rnacentral:lncRNA from 1 species